rnacentral:snRNA from 1 species
UCCUUGCUAUUCCAAGACCAAACCAUUCUCUGUAAUCUCUAUUAUGAUUACUGAAUUUGUGAAUGUGAUUUGUUCCAUCCAUAGCAAAUAAUAAGACCUUUAAAGUUCAGAUAUUUGGGGCCGAUUUUCUUCUGAUGAAUAUUAUUGUCUGAAGAAAGUUCCUAUAUUGGACAAAGUCUCUUACUAUUUA